GGGCCGCUCUAGAUAGUGGUCCCCCAGAGUUUGAUCCUGGCUCAGGACGAACGCUGGCGGCGUGCUUAACACAUGCAAGUCGAGCGAUGAAGCUCCUUCGGGAGUGGAUUAGCGGCGGACGGGUGAGUAACACGUGGGUAACCUGCCUCAUAGAGGGGAAUAGCCUUUCGAAAGGAAGAUUAAUACCGCAUAAGAUUGUAGUACCGCAUGGUACAGCAAUUAAAGGAGUAAUCCGCUAUGAGAUGGACCCGCGUCGCAUUAGCUAGUUGGUGAGGUAACGGCUCACCAAGGCGACGAUGCGUAGCCGACCUGAGAGGGUGAUCGGCCACAUUGGGACUGAGACACGGCCCAGACUCCUACGGGAGGCAGCAGUGGGGAAUAUUGCACAAUGGGGGAAACCCUGAUGCAGCAACGCCGCGUGAGUGAUGACGGCCUUCGGGUUGUAAAACUCUGUCUUUGGGGACGAUAAUGACGGUACCCAAGGAGGAAGCCACGGCUAACUACGUGCCAGCAGCCGCGGUAAUACGUAGGUGGCAAGCGUUGUCCGGAUUUACUGGGCGUAAAGGGAGCGUAGGUGGAUAUUUAAGUGGGAUGUGAAAUACUCGGGCUUAACCUGGGUGCUGCAUUCCAA
rnacentral:rRNA from 1 species